rnacentral:rRNA from 1 species
CUAUACAUGCAAGUCGAGCGAACAGAUAAGGAGCUUGCUCCUUUGACGUUAGCGGCGGACGGGUGAGUAACACGUGGGUAACCUACCUAUAAGACUGGGAUAACUUCGGGAAACCGGAGCUAAUACCGGAUAACAUUUGGAACCGCAUGGUUCUAAAGUGAAAGAUGGUUUUGCUAUCACUUAUAGAUGGACCCGCGCCGUAUUAGCUAGUUGGUAAGGUAACGGCUUACCAAGGCGACGAUACGUAGCCGACCUGAGAGGGUGAUCGGCCACACUGGAACUGAGACACGGUCCAGACUCCUACGGGAGGCAGCAGUAGGGAAUCUUCCGCAAUGGGCGAAAGCCUGACGGAGCAACGCCGCGUGAGUGAUGAAGGGUUUCGGCUCGUAAAACUCUGUUAUUAGGGAAGAACAAAUGUGUAAGUAACUGUGCACGUCUUGACGGUACCUAAUCAGAAAGCCACGGCUAACUACGUGCCAGCAGCCGCGGUAAUACGUAGGUGGCAAGCGUUAUCCGGAAUUAUUGGGCGUAAAGCGCGCGUAGGCGGUUUCUUAAGUCUGAUGUGAAAGCCCACGGCUCAACCGUGGAGGGUCAUUGGAAACUGGGAAACUUGAGUGCAGAAGAGGAAAGUGGAAUUCCAUGUGUAGCGGUGAAAUGCGCAGAGAUAUGGAGGAACACCAGUGGCGAAGGCGACUUUCUGGUCUGUAACUGACGCUGAUGUGCGAAAGCGUGGGGAUCAAACAGGAUUAGAUACCCUGGUAGUCCACGCCGUAAACGAUGAGUGCUAAGUGUUAGGGGGUUUCCGCCCCUUAGUGCUGCAGCUAACGCAUUAAGCACUCCGCCUGGGGAGUACGACCGCAAGGUUGAAACUCAAAGGAAUUGACGGGGACCCGCACAAGCGGUGGAGCAUGUGGUUUAAUUCGAAGCAACGCGAAGAACCUUACCAAAUCUUGACAUCCUUUGAAAACUCUAGAGAUAGAGCUUUCCCCUUCGGGGGACAAAGUGACAGGUGGUGCAUGGUUGUCGUCAGCUCGUGUCGUGAGAUGUUGGGUUAAGUCCCGCAACGAGCGCAACCCUUAAGCUUAGUUGCCAUCAUUAAGUUGGGCACUCUAGGUUGACUGCCGGUGACAAACCGGAGGAAGGUGGGGAUGACGUCAAAUCAUCAUGCCCCUUAUGAUUUGGGCUACACACGUGCUACAAUGGACAAUACAAAGGGCAGCUAAACCGCGAGGUCAUGCAAAUCCCAUAAAGUUGUUCUCAGUUCGGAUUGUAGUCUGCAACUCGACUACAUGAAGCUGGAAUCGCUAGUAAUCGUAGAUCAGCAUGCUACGGUGAAUACGUUCCCGGGUCUUGUACACACCGCCCGUCACACCACGAGAGUUUGUAACACCCGAAGCCGGUGGAGUAACCAUUUAUGGAGCUAGCCGUCGAAG